AUCACCCGCGUCUCGCGGCUCUUGCCCCACCCCAGCCACCAAACAUGGAACCCUAGCCUCCUUUCUCCUUCCCCUCGACCCCCACGAGCCACUGCACCCCUCCCUCUCCCUUCCGUGCGUGUGCUCGGCCAAGGACGCCGCCGUCGCCCUCGGCUCCUCCUCCACCACCUCGCCUUUUUCUCCUCCUCGCCUUCCCAUCGCUCGCGUGCAUGUCGCCGCCGUCGGAGAACAGGAUUGUGCGGGUCGCUUCCUCCUUUUCCUCCCGCCGGAUCUAAGGCGUGCGGUCGUGGAGCCGAGCCUCUCCGGUGGCGGCGGCAAAGGGUGACCACAUGGAUCGGUCCUUGCAGGAGAGAGAGAGAGAUGCGAGAGAGGGAGAGAAUGAAGGAGAGGAGGGAGGCCCGGCAGCGACGGGAGAGGGUCACCGACCGGCGCCGGCGAGGUCAGGUGCGACCUGGUGGUUGGUGGUGGCUUGAUCCACUCCUGGAUCCUUCUUCCACUUCUCCACUGCCUAAUAUGGGGCACCGGUCAGGGAGCACGGGAUCGAUGUUCUGCGGCUCGAGUGUGUGAUCAUAUUGGGUCUCCAGGAUCUUGUGCUCCUACUAUUCUUGUCUGAACUUUGUUAAUUUUAUCAGAAGAAGCAGGAGCAAAGCAUAUGCUUGCUCUUCCAUGGUGAGUUUGGAGUUUACCCUCUGUCCCUGGAAGUUGAAAUUGGCUAUCAUGCAAGCGAUGGCCUUUUCUUAGCCAUGGAAUACAAAGGAAGCUACAAAAUUGUCAUAUCGCAUUUUCUUGAGAUAUCCGUCAAGGGAAUCUGAUUGUACCCAAAUGUGAUAGGUCCCACUCUUCGGCAGCUUGAAUUCGAAGUUGUAGUGGCUGAACAAGACUAGGAUCAUGUUUAUGAUGCGUUUUCCAUCGAUACAGAGGUAUGAAUCAUAUGGUUGACAUUGGUAAAAACUCUCAGUGAGCGCCCUACCUCCUGAAUUUAAUAGUGAGAAGCUGUAUAUUACUUUUAGGUGUAAACAAAUAGUAAAAGAUGAGGUAGCCGUCUCCUACUGAAUUAAUAGUGAGAAGCCUACCAGCUGAAUUUUAUUCUUACAUGAUAUGUGAUAUGAAGUAUUAUUUAUAUUUACUAUUUAGGAUGUAUGCAUAUAUGUUACUGGCUAGCAUGAUACCGUCUCCUACUGAAUUAAUAGUGAGAAGCCUACCAGCUGAAUUUCAUUCUUACAUCAUAUAUGAUAUGAAGUAUUAUUUAUAUUUACUAUUUAGGAUGUAUGCAUAUAUGUUACUGGCUAGCAUGAUACUGUUAGCGGAAGCUGUAGUGCUUUUUAUGGUCGACGGUGGCAUGCCGCUCCAAGCCACACUGCUUUCCAUCAACGCCGACAACCACAACAGGGAUGGAUCCAGCCGCCAAGAGGCACGGCGGUGGCCUGCUCCCAAGCUGCAGGCUUAUUUGGUUCUGAUCGGAAGAUAAUUGGACCAGCUAAAGGAGAACUUUCCUGAACUAUUUCUUAUUUGUUUGUGCAACCAGGAUUAUUUGGUUCUGAUCAGAAGAUAAUUGGACUAGCUAAAGGAGAACUUUGCUGAACUAUUUCUUUAUUUGUUGGUGUAACCAUGCUUAUUUGCUUCUGAUAAUUGGACCGGCUAAAGAAGAACUUUGCUGAACUAUUUCUUUAUUUGUUUGUGCAACCAGGCUUAUUUGGUUCUGAUCGGUUUCUUGCCUAGGUUGUAUAAUGUCUCCUCUCUGCUCUCGUUCCCUCCUUACCUUCACCCAUCUUCAGGCGCAAAUGGAGCUGCGGCGGUGACGUCAUCACCUGGUAUUGCACUUCUACCCCCUGGCUUGAACCUGAAACCUCCAUGUGCUCUGUAGGUGUAGAUUCAGACGUCACCAAAGCCCUUUUUGUGGGAUUUACAAAAUUCAUUCUGUAACAUUGUAAAUGGGUGUAAAUUCAGACGUUGCCAAAGUCAAGUUUGUCCUACUGAUUUCCUUGGUAUUCCAUAUAUUAUGUGCCCUGUAGGCCUUAUUGCUUUCCUAGCUUGGUAAGUUAGUAUGCAUGAAUUUUGUGGGUGUGUGUGCAUUUGGAUGCUGGCUUAGAUGUCAUGCUACUUAGCUCAUUAGUUUGCUUCCCAUCUUGCUUCCAUGUUUUUUCUUCACCAUGUUAUCUUUAGCCUUCCACGCCACUGAUUUGGUUGGUUUAUUUCCUUGCAUAGUUCUCCUUGUUUGCCACUAAUAAAUACAACAAUUAUGUGAUGUCUGUAUUUAUAAUUUUAGCUAAUGUGUCUCUUUUAUUAUUAUUAUCAUCCUCUAUGGUUAAUCACACAUUUCAUUGUUGUGCUUCGAAGUCUAUGGUGUAGUACAUGCAACAUGAUACAAUCCGCAAUGGUUAAUAAAACUAAAUAUGAUAGCAAAUGAAAACUAUUGUGAUGCAUUGAACUAUGAUGGACACAUAACAAAAGGCGUGCAAUAACUCUAACUUUAUUCCACUGACGAGAUGCGUCAAAUUUAUUGUACAGUAUGUUCUAAAUUUAUUCCACUGACAAGAUGUGUCAAAUUUAUUCAAUGUUUUUUGUAUUGUGGUCGAUGCAGUCCCAUUCUUCAACCACAAAACAUUAGGGAUUUCAUUUCUUAUGUCUUCGGGUGCAAAAGUUGCCUUAUAUGAUGCAUCAAGAGCUUGGUGAACUGUUUUGCGUUUUGUUGUUUUUCAGUAUAGAAAAUAUAUUAGUCCAAUUUUUUUCCCUUGACAAAGCUUCCAUUUCUUAUGAUUCAUUAACUGAAGAGCCAUGAUUGAUUUCCCAAUAUACAAUUUUUAUACUGUUUUUGCUAGAGCAUUGUGCAAUGUGGAUAAGCUGAUCGCUUCUGUUUUGGUUACAGGGAAAUGCCUCUUCCUUUUCUAGCAUUUGCAUUUGCUUACAGGGAAAUGCAAGCGGGACCUGUUUUGGUUCGAGUAAUUAUGCUAGGAAAUGUAGUCAGAGGUUUAGCCUACAAAAUUAAUCUGUACACGCUAUGAAGUAAUGGAACAUUAUAUGUUUUUGUAGCAGACCAAAAUAACAAAAUUAGUGAAGAUCCUAACAACAAUAAUCGAAUGAUUCAUAUAGAAAUCAGGUUUCCCUCUCAGGUGGGGAGGGACAGAUGUGGCUGCAUCAACGAAGUGACAGAAGAAGGCUGCGUUGGUUGUACUCCGGGCACUGCCGCCUCCAUCCCUGCUCCAUCAGGUUUUCUAUUAAAGGGAAUUAAACCAUGGAUAUUUUUUCAUCACAUACAUGGAUUUAUCGUGCCUCUGCGCCAUUUGGCUCAACGGGUCAUCAGACACGAUCACAACAUCAUAUAUAUUGAGUGACUAUGAACUUCGAUACAGACAAAAAAGAAAGAUCAUGAACAAUAAAAUAUAUAUUUGCUCAAAUUUUUGUUUUCAAUGGCAAGCAAAUAAUUUGUUUACUUAGGAAAUGAUGUUUCAUGUCACACACACCAAAGUAAGAAACAGAUUCCUUCCUCUUUACUUGCAGAGAUCAACAAAUUAUUGCGCUUACCUGAUACAAUUAUUUUCUUUUGUUUGGAGCGUUCCCUGUGAUCGUCAGGGAUAUCCUGCAGAACAAUACGGAAAUCCAUCAUCGGCAAAAAUAUCGAGUAGAAAUCAAGCACGCGUAAUAGGAGUGCAUAUGGACGAUCUGUCUACUCUCUGGUCUAUUUUUAAACAGACAUGUUGGCCUUUUCUUACAUAAUCAGCCUACUGUUUCUAUUCCUCGCAGGUCAUUUCACUUUCUGUCAAUAGGCAUUGAUCUCCAUGUUAACUUGGUGUAAGGUAGUCUUGACGAUGUGUUGAGGCGGUCUGCUCAGUGACCGUUAGUAAGGUUGCUCAUCGGCAAGCGAAAGAGCUUUGUGCAUUCUUGCAUGGUUAAGGAAGAAUUUGUUAUUUGAAGUAUGCACUACAGAUAUUGCAAGUCUACUUCAGUAAUGCUGUGGCAUGCCGCAAAACAACCACAUUUUGCUGCUGUGAUUUGGUCCAUCCUGUGCAUUUCAGUUCCUGGUGAUCUCCAAUGUUUGUCAGCUAAUGCCACCAGGAGGGCUGCCCACCCAAGACUUGUAAUGUGGGCAUCGGUACUGUCCUUUGACAUAUUUGGAAGUCACUGUCGUUUCAACUCCGUCAGGUGCCAGGCCAAGGAUGUUACUCAUCGCUGCUGUGAAGACCUUGCGGAUCUCUGGACAAACAACCACAAUGGGAGCAUUGUUUGGUGCAGCACUAACAAUAGCCACUACAAUGGCCAGUGAAGCUACAAAUUAACAGCUGGAGCAAGGAAAAGGACCUUCGAGAGUAUGGAAUAAUGAAUACAAUGAUAAUCUGACACCUAAUAAGGAUCAAGAGAACAGAGAUGCUAAGAGGCAACAUUUUGGGUUUAAGGAUAUAAACAACAUGGCUUACGAGGAUUUGGACUGCUGUUAUUUUAGUUCCACUCUUAAAUAUUUUGGUUCUUGAAGGCCUGACUUUCCUGGUGGAGUAGGAGCAAAAUAAUUCAGAGGCUUUAAAGCUGCUGCACUUUAGUAGUUAGGAUCAAUUCUUUGUUUUGGUUUGAAAUGCUCCCCAAUUCCUCCUAUUUGAUUGAUUCAUCUGAUGGUCAUUUGUCAGGCAAAUAAACAGAAGGCAUAUGUAUUGUUUUGAGUGAAGCCAUCCAUACAAGUCGAUAUAUUAAUUAUCCCAUAUGUGGAAUUCAAGAUAUAGAGAAAUGUUAUUGUUCUUCUGCUAAUUGGUUGCUUGACCAAAUGUACUAUAAAUGAUGUUAUUAUUGUACCAGAUAUAAAGAAAUGUUAUUAUUCUUCAAUUA